UCCUCUCCACUCCCCUCCUUUCUCCCAAAUCCCACUGCCCCUCUCGACUCUUCUGAGAACACUGCCCCAUCUCGAUCCCCACCGGCCGCUCCUUGUCGCUCCGCCCGGGCCUGCCCGCCGCUUGGCCGCCCCCUGCUCGUGCCCUCCACGACCCACCCCGGCCGGCCGCCCCUACCCUCUCCUUUCUGCUCUCUUCCAUUGCUUGUUCGAUUCCAUGUCUCACCCACACAGAUCUGUGACCACCUCCGCAUCCGGCCACCUCCCAACGCAGAUCCGUGGGCAACACCUCCUCCGACCACCUAUCUGCACAUAGCCGCGGCUAACUCCACCUCCCUGUGCAGAUCAGACAUCAUCACUUCUCCGAUCUCCUGCCGUUGUAGAUCGGCCGAUGGAAAAGUUCCUUGCUGUGUUGCAGCUCCAUGGCCUCACCAACUUCGGCACUAAGAACAACCGUGGGCUUGUUAUGUCGAUGUAAGAAAAUCUUACACACACUAAUCCAUGUCCUUUAAGAUCCGAUCAGAUCUGUGGUUACAUGCUUUGCUUGAAAAACUUGAAGGAUGACAAACAAGUGCCAACUCGUAUGAGGUGUGCAGUGUCUGCAAUUUCUGAUAUAUAGCUUCUGAUUAUGUGUGCCCUGUGGUUCAAUUAGGUGUGCAAGAAUUAAUGGAGAAAUCUGUAGUAUCUAUUUUUUAAUUUCAGAUCAAGUCUAUAAUUUCCGAUCAUGUGCAAUGUAUGGACAGUACUACUAUUGAGCAGAUUGAAAUGCUCUAGCUGUUCUCAGUGUGGUAGUAAUAUUUGUUGGCUUUUCACCAAGGUCAAUCAAUCAUGAAGAACACACGUGAGAUCACAAACACGCAAGAAAAUGUACAUGCCAGCUAUUGCAUUCAAAUUGUCACUGAAGUUAUAUUUAAUUUGAUAUCAUUGUUAUGGGACUAAAAGUCACUGUAAUUUCAUCUUAUAGAUACCAUGCGUUCUUGCUAGUGGUUGGUAGGAUACACAUCUGCUUAAGAGAGUCUCUCCUAAAAGGAUAUACGAAUGGAUAAGUUGAGGUCUGAAGAUUGCUAGGGCCAUUCGACUUGGAGGCUGACGUAUUAAGACCACUGUGUAGAUGCCAUAACAGUUAAACAAUGGCUGGGUGAAGUACCGAAGGAGGGUAUGCUGCGGCAGAGGAAACAAGCGUGGAGGCGUUCUUCAAAUAUUUGUAUUGAAUAUUUUCCAAACUAUGAUAGGAAUUUAUUUGGUUAAUCAAGUCUGUAAGGCAAUUGUUAAUUGCUGGCGGUAAUUGAUGACAAAGUAGCAACACUGUAUCAUGGCUGUGGAUUUUCGUGCUUGUCCAUAUGAAGCCUAAUUGCCUACA